rnacentral:rRNA from 1 species
AGUGAACGCUGGCGGUAGGCCUAACACAUGCAAGUCGAACGGCAGCACAGUAAGAGCUUGCUCUUACGGGUGGCGAGUGGCGGACGGGUGAGAAAUACAUCGGAAUCUACUUUUUCGGGGGGGAUAACGUAGGGAAACUUACGCUAAUACCGCAUACGACCUACGGGUGAAAGCAGUGGAUCUUCGGACCUUUCGCGAUUGAAUGAGCCGAUGCCGGAUUAGCUAGUUGGCGGGGUAAAGGCCCACCAAGGCGACGAUCCGUAGCUGGUCUGAGAGGAUGAUCAGCCACACUGGAACUGAGACACGGUCCAGACUCCUACGGGAGGCAGCAGUGGGGAAUAUUGGACAAUGGGCGCAAGCCUGAUCCAGCCAUACCGCGUGGGUGAAGAAGGCCUUCGGGUUGUAAAGCCCUUUUGUUGGGAAAGAAAAGCAGCAGGUUAAUACCCCGCUGUUCUGACGGUACCCAAAGAAUAAGCACCGGCUAACUUCGUG